UACGAGGGGUGCAAGCGUUGCUCGGAAUUAUUGGGCGUAAAGGGUAGGUAGGUGGUCUCAUUUGUCUGGGGUGAAAGCCUUGGGCUUAACCCAAGAAGUGCCCCGGAAACGGUGAGACUAGAGUCCUGGAGAGGGUCGUGGAAUUCCCGGUGUAGCGGUGAAAUGCGUAGAGAUCGGGAGGAACACCAGAGGCGAAGGCGGCGACCUGGACAGGUACUGACACUAAACUACGAAAGCGUGGGGAGCAAACAGG
rnacentral:rRNA from 1 species